GGCGAUUCUAAAGUGCAUUAAAAUGUAAAAUAUUCAACAAUAUGGCUUAACCACCGAAUCUCACGGCCCGAGAAGUGCAGCAGGUAUUUGCAGAGAUUCUCAGCCAUGGCGAGGACAUCACCUGGGAUCUAUUGCUGCAGAAUCAACGAGACAUUCUGAAAAGGAAAGUUCGAGAAAUAUUUAAUCAGAGACAUAAAUAAUUCUGGACAACGUUUGGACUCUACGUAAAUGCGCCAACGGCCAGUCCCUUUCUGCGUUGUUCUUUGCGGUUAUUGUGAAUGGAGUGACCGACUUGAAGGAGGCAGAUAAUAGCAGAUCACCCAGUUUUCCGCUGCCGUCGCUGCGAUGCCGACACGGAUGGAGGGAUGAGCAGCAGCCCAGACUGUUGCGGUAUGUAUGUGGAUCAAAUCGGGCUCUUUGAGGACUG